rnacentral:rRNA from 1 species
AACGAACGCUGGCGGCAGGCCUAACACAUGCAAGUCGAGCGGACCCUUCGGGGUUAGCGGCGGACGGGUGAGUAACGCGUGGGAAUAUGCCCUUCUCUACGGAAUAGUCCUGGGAAACUGGGGGUAAUACCGUAUACGCCCUUUGGGGGAAAGAUUUAUCGGGGAAGGAUUAGCCCGCGUUGGAUUAGGUAGUUUGUGGGGUAAUGGCCUACCAAGCCGACGAUCCAUAGCUGGUUUGAGAGGAUGAUCAGCCACACUGGGACUGAGACACGGCCCAGACUCCUACGGGAGGCAGCAGUGGGGAAUCUUAGACAAUGGGGGCAAACCUGAUCUAGCCAUGCCGCGUGAGUGAUGAAGGCCUUAGGGUUGUAAAGCUCUUUCAGCUGGGAAGAUAAUGACGGUACCAGCAGAAGAAGCCCCGGCUAACUCCGUG